rnacentral:misc_RNA from 1 species
AAAGUUGUAAUAAGGUUUCUGUAGGUGAACCUGCGGAAGGAUUAUUAUUGUGGGGCUCUGGCCCUGUUGAGAUAGCACCCUUGCCUUUAUAGUACUGCCUGUUUUCUUGGCAGGCUUGCCUGCUAAUGGGGACAGCAAAACACCCUGAUACCACCUGUAACUGUCUAAUAAAACAAACAAAAAUUAAAACUUUUAACAACGGAUCUCUUGGUUCUA